rnacentral:rRNA from 1 species
GACCGAGGGUGCGAUCGUUGUUCGGAAUUACUGGGCGUAAAGCGCAUGUAGGCGGCAGCGCAAGUCGGGCGUGAAAUCCCACGGCUCAACCGUGGAAGUGCACUCGAAACUGCGCAGCUAGAGUCCUGGAGAGGAAGGUGGAAUGCUUGGUGUAGAGGUGAAAUUCGUAGAUAUCAAGCGGAACACCGGUGGCGAAGGCGGCCUUCUGGACAGUGACUGACGCUGAGAUGCGAAAGCAUGGGGAGCGAACAGG